rnacentral:rRNA from 1 species
GCUUGUCUCAAAGAUUAAGCCAUGCAUGUCUAAGUAUAAACGACUUUAUACUGUGAAACUGCGAAUGGCUCAUUAUAUCAGUUAUAGUUUAUUUGAUGGUCCUUGCUACUUGGAUAACCGUAGUAAUUCUAGAGCUAAUACAUGCAUCAAACCCCGACUUCUGGAAGGGGUGUAUUUAUUAGAUUUAAGGCCAACCGAGCUUGCUCGUCUCUUGGUGAAUCAUGAUAACUUCACGAAUCGCAUGGCCUCGCGCCGGCGAUAUUUCAUUCAAAUUUCUGCCCUAUCAAUUGGCGAUGGUAGGAUAGAGGCCUACCAUGGUGUUAACGGGUGACGGGGGAUUAGGGUUCGAUUCCGGAGAGGCAGCCUGAGAAACGGCUACCACAUCCAAGGAAGGCAGCAGG